rnacentral:rRNA from 1 species
GACAGAGGGUGCAAACGUUGCUCGGAAUUACUGGGCGUAAAGCGCGUGUAGGUGGAUUGGUGUGUCAGAUGUGAAAUCCCUGGGCUCAACCCAGGAACUGCACCUGAAACUACCAGUCUUGAGUGGUGGAGAGGGAAGUGGAAUUCCUGGUGUAGAGGUGAAAUUCGUAGAUAUCAGGAGGAACACCAGAGGCGAAGGCGGCAACCUGGCUCGUAACUGACGCUCAUACACGACAGCAUGGGGAGCGAACGGG